CAAUAGCAUAUAUUAAAGUUGUUGCAGUUAAAAGCUCGUAGUUGGAUUUCUGGCAUGAUGCGCCUGGCCCGCCUCCAUUAGGAGUGUGUGUGCGAGUGCGCGUCUGCCAUCCAUUUGCAGAAUGUGUCUACUCUUCAUUGAGCCGGAUACGUGAUGUAAAUCUUUUACUUUGAAAAAUUAGAGUGUUUAAAGCAGGCAUUUGCUAUGAAUACAUUAGCAUGGAAUAAUAAUCUAGGACUUCGGUUCUAUUUUGUUUGGUUUCUUAGAUCUGAAGUAAUGAUUGAUAGGGAUAGUUGGGGGUGGCUAGUAUUAAGGGGCCGAGAGGUGAAAUUACUUGGAUUCUCUUAAGACUAACUUAAUGCGAAGCAUUCACCAAGGAUGUCUUCUUUAAUUCAAGAACGAAAGUUA
rnacentral:rRNA from 1 species